rnacentral:rRNA from 1 species
UACGGGGGGGGGCAAGCGUUGUUCGGAAUUACUGGGCGUAAAGGGCUCGUAGGCGGCCAACUAAGUCAUCACGAUGAACUCCGCGUCUAACCGGGGAACUGCGUCUGAUACUGGAUGGCUUGAGAUUGGGAGAGGGAUGCGGAAUUCCAGGUGUAGCGGUGAAAUGCGUAGAUAUCUGGAGGAACACCGGUGGCGAAGGCGGCAUCCUGGACCAACACUGACGCUGAGGAGCGAAAGCCAGGGGAGCAAACGGG